AUGCACAACAUCGUUGAGUCCUCACAUCAACGUGCUUCCAUCUUCAACCUUCAUCACUUUCACACCUUCGUAUCUUUCUCGGCAACAUAUCGCUACAUCUCUGUUUCAGUCAUCACCAUCAUUUGCAUUCAAGAAUUUCAGGCAACAAUAGUUCGUAAUGCUGACACGCGUGAAAGCGCAGAAGAAGAAGUUAUCGGAAUCAUGAACUGA